rnacentral:rRNA from 1 species
GGCGAGGGGAGUGAAAAAGAACCUGAAACCGUGUACGUACAAGCAGUGGGAGCACAGGUUUACCUGUGUGACUGCGUACCUUUUGUAUAAUGGGUCAGCGACUUAUAUUCUGUAGCAAGGUUAACCGUAUAGGGGAGCCGGAGGGAAACCGAGUCUUAACCGGGCGUUAAGUUGCAGGGUAUAGACCCGAAACCCGGUGAUCUAGCCAUGGGCAGGUUGAAGGUUGGGUAACACUAACUGGAGGACCGAACCGACUAAUGUUGAAAAAUUAGCGGAUGACCUGUGGCUGGGGGUGAAAGGCCAAUCAAACCGGGAGAUAGCUGGUUCUCCCCGAAAGCUAUUUAGGUAGCGCCUCGUGAAUUCAUCUCCGGGGGUAGAGCACUGUUUCGGCUAGGGGGCCAUCCCGGCUUACCAACCCGAUGCAAACUGCGAAUACCGGAGAAUGUUAUCACGGGAGACACACGGCGGGUGCUAACGUCCGUCGUGAAGAGGGAAACAACCCAGACCGCCAGCUAAGGUCCCAAAGUCAUGGUUAAGUGGGAAACGAUGUGGGAAGGCCCAGACAGCCAGGAUGUUGGCUUAGAAGCAGCCAUCAUUUAAAGAAAGCGUAAUAGCUCACUGGUCGAGUCGGCCUGCGCGGAAGAUGUAACGGGGCUAAACCAUGCACCGAAGCUGCGGCAGCGA